rnacentral:lncRNA from 1 species
AUCAGGGAAACAAAGUCUUAUAGUUACAUGCAACACAGCAUGGGAGGUAAAAUAAACCAUUUGUGUGGAUCCUAACGGCUUUCUAUGAAGUAAGGCAUCUUUCAUACACUUGAGUCCUCCAACUGAGUGAAUAAUCAACAGGCCCACGUGGAAACUCAAUUUUAGCUGAGGGACUGAAGAACAUCCACUUGUGUACCAGGGGAGAAAACCAAGACAAUGCAGUAUGAGAACAUGCCACAGACAGACUGCAACUCCACACUGAGUCCAGGAAGGAAAAGACUCACAGCAGAGCCAAGCACAGCUCAAGACUACCACAGCAGCCAUAGCCAAACCACAGUUUGUAUGUAAUGUGAAAGCAAUAAAAUGCUCUCUGAGG